rnacentral:misc_RNA from 1 species
UUUCCGUAGGUGAACCUGCGGAAGGAUCAUUAUUGUAUACCAGAGGUGCGAGGGCUGUCGCUGACCCGACCGGUCGUGCACGCCCGAGUGCCGUCACGCACAUCCAUUUCACCCCUAUGUGCACCACCGCGUGGGUCCCCCUUUGGCUUGUUCGGCGGGGGGCUGACGUUGUCACACAGACUUUGUAUGCAGUGUAGAAUGUACUUUUUGUUUUUGGGAUCACGCAAUCAAUACAACUUUCAACAACGGAUCUCUUGGCUCUC